UUUGGCAACUCAUGAACGAAUG
rnacentral:miRNA from 1 species